AGAGUUUGAUCCUGGCUCAGAACGAACGCUGGCGGCAGGCUUAACACAUGCAAGUCGAGCGCCCCGCAAGGGGAGCGGCAGACGGGUGAGUAACGCGUGGGAAUCUACCCUGAUCUGCGGGAUAGCUCCGGGAAACUGGAAUUAAUACCGCAUGUGCCCUGAGGGGCAAAGAUUUAUCGGUUCAGGAUGAGCCCGCGUCCGAUUAGCUAGUUGGUGGGGUAAUGGCCUACCAAGGCGACGAUCGGUAGCUGGUCUAAGAGGAUGAUCAGCCACAUUGGGACUGAGACACGGCCCAAACUCCUACGGGAGGCAGCAGUGGGGAAUAUUGGACAAUGGGCGCAAGCCUGAUCCAGCCAUGCCGCGUGAGUGAUGAAGGCCCUAGGGUUGUAAGGCUCUUUCAGUGGGGACGAUAAUGACGGUACCCACAGAAGAAGCCCCGGCUAACUUCGUGCCAGCAGCCGCGGUAAU
rnacentral:rRNA from 1 species